rnacentral:rRNA from 1 species
GAUGAACGCUGGCGGCGUGCCUAAUACAUGCAAGUCGAGCGAACGGACGAGAAGCUUGCUUCUCUGAUGUUAGCGGCGGACGGGUGAGUAACACGUGGAUAACCUACCUAUAAGACUGGGAUAACUUCGGGAAACCGGAGCUAAUACCGGAUAAUAUUUUGAACCGCAUGGUUCAAAAGUGAAAGACGGUCUUGCUGUCACUUAUAGAUGGAUCCGCGCUGCAUUAGCUAGUUGGUAAGGUAACGGCUUACCAAGGCAACGAUGCAUAGCCGACCUGAGAGGGUGAUCGGCCACACUGGAACCGAGACACGGUCCAGACUCCUACGGGAGGCAGCAGUAGGGAAUCUUCCGCAAUGGGCGAAAGCCUGACGGAGCAACGCCGCGUGAGUGAUGAAGGCCUUCGGAUCGUAAAACUCUGUUAUUAGGGAAGAACAUAUGUGUAAGUAACUGUGCACAUCUUGACGGUACCUAAUCAGAAAGCCACGGCUAACUACGUG